rnacentral:rRNA from 1 species
AGAGUUUGAUCCUGGCUCAGGACGAACGCUGGCGGCGUGCCUAAUACAUGCAAGUUGAACGCAACAAAGACACCAGAGCUUGCUCUACCGUUUUUGUUGAGUAGCGAACGGGUGAGUAACGCGUGGGUAACCUGCCUUAUAGCGGGGGAUAACUAUUGGAAACGAUAGCUAAUACCGCAUAACAAUAGAGAUUGCAUAAUCUUUAUUUGAAAGUGCCAACUGGUACACUAUGAGAUGGACCCGCGUUGUAUUAGCUAGUUGGUAGUGUAAUGGACUACCAAGGCGAUGAUACAUAGCCGACCUGAGAGGGUGAUCGGCCACAUUGGGACUGAGACACGGCCCAAACUCCUACGGGAGGCAGCAGUAGGGAAUCUUCGGCAAUGGACGAAAGUCUGACCGAGCAACGCCGCGUGAGUGAAGAAGGUUUUCGGAUCGUAAAACUCUGUUGUUAGAGAAGAAUGUUGAUUAGAGUGGAAAAUUAAUCAAGUGACGGUAUCUAACCAGAAAGGGACGGCUAACUACGUGCCAGCAGCCGCGGUAAUACGUAGGUCCCGAGCGUUGUCCGGAUUUAUUGGGCGUAAAGCGAGCGCAGGUGGUUUAAUAAGUCUGAUGUAAAAGGCAGUGGCUCAACCAUUGUGUGCAUUGGAAACUGUUAGACUUGAGUGCAGUAGAGGAGAGUGGAAUUCCAUGUGUAGCGGUGAAAUGCGUAGAUAUAUGGAGGAACACCGGUGGCGAAAGCGGCUCUCUGGACUGUCACUGACACUGAGGCUCGAAAGCGUGGGUAGCAAACAGGAUUAGAUACCCUGGUAGUCCACGC